rnacentral:rRNA from 1 species
GCAGCCGCGGUAAUUCCAGCUCCAUAGUGUAUAUUAAGUGCUGACGGUUAAAAGCUCGUAGUUGGAUUUCGGAGUUGUUAUCUGAACCUUCUCGCCCUAAAAAGUGGGGGGCUAAGGUAGCAGUAGUUUUCAUCAUAGUCCAUCAGGAUACUCUCUUGAUGUGUACUGGGUGUUAACCUCCUUUUUUUCUGGUACUUGCUAUCCAGCAAUGGGUAGUUUUGUCCAGAUAGUUUACUUUGAAAAAAUUAGAGUGUUCAAAGCAGGCAUAAUUGGCAUCAUGAAUACAUUAGCAUGGGAUAAUAGAAUAUGACAUUGGUCUUAUUUUGUUGGUUUCUAAGGCCAAAGUAAUGAUUGAUAGGGAUAGUUGGGGCCGCUCGUAUUGAGUUGUCAGAGGUGAAAUUCUAGGAUUUACUCAAGACGAACUAAUGCGAAAGCAUUCGGCAAGGAUGUUUUCAUUAAUC